AAUUAGUUUCCUUCACUGUUCGUUAGGAAAAUCGAUCGACUUUCGAAGAUGAGAUUCGCUUUGAUUUUUUUGUUUGGAUUUAUUGGAAUUAAUAUCGCUAUGGCGCAGAAUGAUAGAACCAAUGCUCCAGCUCCAGGCGU
rnacentral:lncRNA from 1 species